GUAAUCUAUCUGAUAAUAAGGUGUGCUAAAACUUCUCUCUGAGACACACUGCAGGUGCCCUCAGAUCUACUUCUUUAUGUGCUGGACAAACCCCACUGUUAGUAUACUGCACCGUCAUGGUGAAGAAGCGCAUGGAGCUGCUUUAGACCCAAGUUGGAUACAGCACCAGCUGCCACGUAACAUCACAACGUCUUCACCACGAGUACAAGCAUAAACCACACUAACCACACUCUUUUUCCACAUACAGCUAUUACUGGUGUUCAGGUAGUACAGACAAAUGUAGGGCAGGAAGGUGCGCAGUGCAGAGUUGCGGGCUCUGCUGAGCAACUCACAAGUUUGUGAGGUGUUCGCUGAGAGAUUCGGGGUCUAGAGUUACUGAGUAUCAUCUGUUCUCGCUGGGAAGUACUGCACAGUCUGAUCAUUUUGGUAUCUGAGGAUAAGAGGUACAAGCUACUGGACGAAAGAAGUUCAGGAAGUAGGUACAAUGAGCAGAAAAUAUGGAUUUUAGACUACGCAAGUGCCAGAACUGGGAAAAGUCAUUGCAGAGCCAGCAUACAGUGUACCACUGCCACCCUACCCCUCAACUAAAAUCUGUCCAAAAUUUAUCAGCAGUUUGGGGUAUCUCUGCUUUCAAGGCUCUACAGUGGGAGCAUUUUCAGGUUUUAAUAACUUUAGCUACACUACUGGGUGCUCGCUUCUAUUAAAAGAGUGUCCUGCUACAUCUUACCUCUAUGAGCCACAAAGUAAUACCCACGGGUCUUUGAUAGGCAAGGAGAAAUCGGUUGCCUUAGAACACCAGAGAGCUGGCUGUUGGGUUAAACAAAUCCCGUGUGCAUGUAGGAUCCUGCUGAACCUGAUGCUGGGAUCUCCAGUGAUAUAUCACACCUACAUACACACAGUUCUUGGUCAGAACUGAAACAUCUACUCUAAAGCAUCUUGAUCUGGAUCUUUCCAGGUCAACCUGCCACUGCUAAAUGGCCACACAGCACAACGGCUUUCUAGAGUGGAAAAGGAGAGAGCAAGGACAGAAGACAUUCAUCCCUGGUUACAGGAAAAAGCCAUCACACAACAUAAAAGUAUCGUUCAUUACCAGUGAAACUGUCUUUUAUUUUAAGCCCUUCCUUAAUCUUGAAGAGCAGGUUUUACCAUGCACUCUUCUUUCCCUCAUCACACACCCUCAUGGUCCUAGGCCCAGCAAAUCAAUAGCAGUGAUUGUCCUUUGAACAUCUUGAGACUACCCAGACUACAGAGUUGCCUUUAGCUAGUAUUUCACUACAGCAUAUAAUUUGGCCUUGUUUCUAACCCAGCCCCCCAGCCUGUUAACCCUUGCACUCUCCUCUUGGUUCUGGCUCUAUUCAAGGCCUGAAUGGCUCCCUUGUGUGGAGUCAGUGUUUCUGCUGUGUCUCCCCUUUAAGCGGACAGGCAUAGAGCACUCCGAUUGUGCUGCUCCCCCGGCUUUAGCCCUCCUCCAGGCGUAACGGUCAGCUAAUCAGCGUUUUUGUCCCGGUAAAUCACCCCCAGGGUGGAGGGCUAACGACUCUCCUGUAGGUUUGCAAAGAGAGCGGGUGGAGGGGUAACCGACUGCAGGGCUGGUAACAUGGGAAACGUGCCUUCACGUACUGUACGCACAGAGCAUUGCGUCUUCCAGUGAAGAGUGGCUAAGGAGGGGGAAUGAAGGAAACGGACUGGAAAUUACACGCUUCCAAAACCCCUGUAAGGAAGCUAAAGCCCCUUAGGAACUGUACAGCACUGGGCUCUGAGAUCGGGGUGCAGCAGGAGGAGCGGGCAGAGCGCUUUCCUCCUCAGAACUCAUCGUCCUGGACCCUCUGCUGGAGCAGUGGCAGGGCGCCGCGGGUACAGACUCCUGGGGCACUGCUUCCUACUCGGAAGCACGCUGCAACCUCGCCUCAGUUUUGAAAGAGACCCUUUUUUCUGCCCUGAGCGGAAGCAAACCCCUGCUCGGCACGUUUCGUGGCUGCACAAGCUGCCGCAGCAGGCAUAGCCGAUAGACGGCGCGGGCCUGGGCGGUGGGACUCUGGGGCACAUCCGGCUGCACUCACCUCCGCGUCCUGCUCCCGCAGCAAAUACACCCCCCCCCCCCCCUCCGUCUCUCAUCUGUAAAGCAGAGCCGUGAUGUGGCCAGGGAGAAUAAAGUUGAUCUUCACAAACUGCUGGGAUACCCUUGGAUGAAGAGCUCUGUUUUAAACGGAUAAAAACGUAAUUAAUAAGAAGUGCCAUUAACAUCACAGAUAACACGCUCUUAUUUUUGGGGUGGGAUGUAGCGAGUUACCAAAUGCAACUAACUGCAGUGCUCCACUUCCAGCUGUGUCCUGUGCUGCAAGCAGUUACAUGCUGUAGUGUAAGGCUUCCUCUGGGAUGAAAAUGUCUUCUUGUAGGAGAAGCACAAGAAAUGCUGGGCAGAAGGAGAGUGGUGGUGUUCUGUUUGGAGGCUGACUGCUUGGAGAACAGAAUGGGGGGAUAAAAUUUAGGAAAACCAGCAUACCAGUGUUUGUGAGGGAGGCAAACAGAAGGAUCGAUCACAGGGGAGUUACACCCCAGGUUCUCCCUCCCAGGGAGGACUGGAAAAAGCAGUGUUGUAGGGGACCCAGAGUACCCACUUUUGUGAUGUAAUUGAAUUGGCUUCUGGUGGACAGGAUGAGCACAAGACAAGGGGCAGGCACAGGGGUGGCAGCCUGUCUUGGCAGCAGCGAGCUGCUCUAGUGCAGCUCUAUCAUCCAUAUUGCCCAACUGCACCCCCAAGGUGCAAGUGGAACCUUUGAAUCUAAUAUAAAUUUAACGUUUGUGUUGUCUUAUGCCACCUCUGUUUGCUGAGGAGAAACUUGUGAGAAUUGCUCUUCAAGGAUCAAGUUAGCAGAAUAAAGGUGGGAGUAACGAGAGAUUUACUUGUAUCAUUACUUCAGAGCUUUGUUCCUUUCAGCUUUGCAGAGCUGGGAGCAGCAGCUUUCUGCCAGUUGGAAGGGAUGAUUCCCAGCUUUCUCAUGGGAAGUGUCAAAUGUUGUAACAUGCUGCCUGUAAAAGAUGUGACUUUAAUACAUUAAAGAAGUCUAUUUAUGGUUAUUUUAGAGGAGCUUGCAUUCCUAUGCUCUGUAAAGUUGGAACUAAGGCACCUGAUACGGAUAAUUUGUUCCAAUGCAGUCUAAAAAUGUUCUAUUAUUAAAAUAAUCUGGUUUCUGAAAUACAUUAAUAGUUGUCCUGCUUUUGACUGGGACAGAGUUAAUUUUCUUCCUACUAGCUGGUACAGUGCUGUAUUUUGGGUUUAGUAUGAGAAUAAUGUUGAUAACACACCGAUGGUCUCAGGAGUUGUUAAGUAAUGUUUGCACAGUCCUUACUCUUUCAGCUUUGCAUGCCCUGCCAGGAGAAGGCUGGAGGGGCACAAGAAGCUGGGAAGGGACACAGCCAGGACAGCUGACCCCAGCUGGCCACAGGGAUAUUCCAUACCGUACAAUGUCAUGCUCAGUGUUA